UACAGAGGGUGCAAACGUUGCUCGGAAUUACUGGGCGUAAAGAGCGUGUAGGCGGUUCGCUAAGUCGACUGUGAAAGCCCAGGGCUCAACCCUGGAAGUGCAGUCGAUACUGGCGAACUAGAGUCUCGGAGAGGGCAGUGGAAUUAGCAGUGUAGAGGUGAAAUUCGUAGAUAUUGCUAGGAACACCGGUGGCGAAGGCGGCUGCCUGGACGAGUACUGACGCUGAGACGCGAAAGCGUGGGUAGCAAACAGG
rnacentral:rRNA from 1 species